rnacentral:ncRNA from 2 species
CCUCCCCAUUUCUUGGCCUCCUCUCGCUGCUCCUGCUUGUGCUCUGAGCCCCAACUGCUCAUGCUCGUGCUCAAGGAGGAGCACUGGAGUAGCCAAGAGAUGGAGUGCGA